UCUAUCCCAAUAAAACCUCCCCUUAUCUCCUGCUUCUCUACAACCUAUCUUUCACUCCUAUUCUCUCUAUCUUUCAUCCCGUUUCGACUACCUGACACAACCAGAAAUCGAACUUUAUCUCUACCAGAAAUCGAACCUUAUCUGUAUCAAUUAAGUCUUUUCAUGCAAGUGAAAAUUGAACCUGUCUCUAUCAACAAAGUCUUUUCGAAGCCGAAAUCAAAGCCUAUCACAUAGUCAGGUGGCUCAAAUUUUUAUGACCCAUAGGCAUCAUUACUCCAACAACUAGAUUUACAUGCAUACAUGAUUUACAUGCACAUGCAUAAAUACAUGAUGAUAUGAUUUAGGUGCAUUAAACAAAGUUUAAAUCAUACAUCAUUCAAAAUCAUGCAUCGUACGUUUACAAAUCAUGUAGAAGGUUCAUACCACAUCAAAGUAACUUUUUCAAAAAAACCCUUAAUCAAUUAAGGUUUAGUUAAUCGAUUAAAUUGUGCAAAAUAGAAACCUAUUAAUCGAUUAAGUUAAGGGUUAGUCGAUUAAUGAUAUUUACAAUUUCUGAAAUUUUGAUUUUUAAAGAAUCGUUAAACGAUUAAGUAGAUUGUUAAUUGAUUAACUAUAUCAGAAAAUAGAAUUGUAUUUUAAACCAACUUUUCCCAUUUGCUACAAAUAUUUCGUAACACAAAAUUCAGAUUGAUUUUCACUUCAUAUCAAAAGAUAGAUUUUCCAAAGUGUUUCUGAAAAAAGUAUUCUCAUACACAAAGAAAGAUAAGAGAAUACUUUAUGAAUCUUUAGAGAAGUAUUUCAAGAUUUUCAUAGUCAAAUCAAGUUUACAAAACCUUUCAUCUCACAUCUUAAUUUUGAGUUAUGCGAGACUUAGAAAGGUUUUAGGUCCUGGAAGUGUGUGUAUAUUCAACAUUUUUUAGGUGCAUUUACUCAUUUGUACACAUUGGACACGUUGGUAUUAACAUUUCUCUUUGGUAUGUGGUAUCACCACGAAUAAGAGAAAAGGUUUAGGAAACCCUGGUUAUAAGUGGUGAGGAACCAUCAGAAACUAGGUUCACUGUACAAGAUUCUUGGUAGAGAAGUUAGAAGUGGUGGGGCUCUCCACUUAUUCCUUAUCUCUAUACGUGUUUGCAUUGUUUGAUUUACUAUACUUGGCAUUAUAAUCUUUUUUGUGUUAAUUACAUAACCUGUUUUAUGCCAUUAACUGCAUAAUAUCAUGUAGUAGAUUGCAUACAAGUUUAGUCAAAUCUUUACAUCUUAGUGUAUAAAGAAAACUCAAUUAAGAUAUAUGUUAAUCGAUUAAACAUUGAGGAAAAUCAUAGAAUAUCUUUUUAAUCAAGAAAUAAUAAUCGAGUAACGAACCACCUAUUCAUCCCCUUCUAGGUGAAGUUUAGAGCCCUUAUAUGCUAACACAUACUACAUUGAAAAUUGUUGUAAUUAAAUAAACAAAAAAAUUAUAAAUAAUAUUAUAUCCUCCUAUAAAUUUAAGAUAUGCUCCUAAUUAUAGGUAAGUGAUUUGUGUCCCUUUAAACCCAAAUAAAGCUAACAUUUGUUAGUUCAAGUGACACAAUACUUUUUCUGAUCCAGAACAAAAUUUAAACUAAUUUAUUAAGAGGAUAUUACUUGCCCCAAAAUAUAUAUAUAUAUAUAUAUAAAAGAGCCCAUAUUCUUUUUUACUUUUUAAACUUACUCUUAAGUCUUAAUCAACAAACAACAAAAUUCAUACAUAAAAUAAUGCUGAUGGUAAAUGGGUCCACUGCACUUGCAUAUAAAAUUUUAAAGAAAGCUAAGUAAAGAAAAGACAAUGAAAGGUGGGCAUCGAAGGUAAUCUAAAAGGACUCUACACAUUGAAUCAUCAGCAACUAGUACUUUUUUUAUGAAAAUAUUCACUUAAAUUGGUUGAACCAAGACAUUGUUUGUCUUGGACAGUGACCCCUUUUGGCAUUUAUAAUGAUUAAUGACCAAGACUUGAGACUUGACUCUCUUUUCUUGUCCCUAUCUAUCCCAAUAAAACCUCCCCUUAUCUCCUGCUUCUCUACAACCUAUCUUUCACUCCUAUUCUCUCUAUCUUUCAUCCCGUUUCGACUACCUGACACAACCAGAAAUCGAACUUUAUCUCUACCAGAAAUCGAACCUUAUCUGUAUCAAUUAAGUCUUUUCAUGCAAGUGAAAAUUGAACCUGUCUCUAUCAACAAAGUCUUUUCGAAGCCGAAAUCAAAGCCUAUCACAUAGUCAGGUGGCUCAAAUUUUUAUGACCCAUAGGCAUCAUUACUCCAACAACUAUCCAUUCUCAUGAUUCAUGGUAUUCAUCAAUGUGGUUUAUUUUUUUCAAGCUAUGAGAUUACCAAUUAAGAAGUUUUUAAUAUGAUGGUGAUGUAUCAUAAGGUUGGUGUAGACACCAUAGGUUUUUUAUAAUAAGAUUUGGUGGCUGAGAAAGAGAGUAGUUGAUGCAUGUUAAGGUACAUAUCAAUCAUGGUUUUGGUUCUUCUCACUUUGUCUAUUCUUGUGCUUCCUGUGGUGUUGCCUCCUCUACCACCACCACCUUUGCUGCUUCUACUUGUUCCAGUUUUCAUCUUGGUGCUUCUGUUUUUCUUAGCCUUUUCACCUUCCAAAUUUCCAACCAUGUCUGUCAUUGCUUCUUGAUCUACUAUUAUUAUUGUCGUUGUUGGUGUUAGUCUUUUCUAAAUGCUAUGCAUGUGAGGUUGAGGAAAAAAGAGAGAAGAUAAUAAGGUGUGGAAUCUGACUUUAUGAGUUUUCUAUAUUCCAUAAAUCAAUCAUGCUUGUACUGGUGGUACAUAUGGAAAGGUAUUUUGUUUAGGGUUUUUUUAAUGUUAGUUCUUAGUUCUAAGGAUAAGAAAGUAGAUAACUUGUGUUGGAAAAUGAUGUAUUGAAACAAUCAAAAAAAUUGUGUGUUUAGUUUUCCAAUAAAAAGUAUUCACUUUUGGGUUUUCUUGAGCUUAAUAAAAAAUUUGUCUGUUAAGUUUUCUAAUAAAAAGUAUCUAUUUUUUGGGUUUUCUUAAGCUCAAUCCGUAUGAUUAAUGAUAAGAACCCAAAAG
rnacentral:lncRNA from 1 species